rnacentral:rRNA from 1 species
UACGAAGGGGGCUAGCGUUGUUCGGAAUCACUGGGCGUAAAGCGCACGUAGGCGGCUUUGUAAGUUAGAGGUGAAAGCCCGGGGCUCAACUCCGGAAUUGCCUUUAAGACUGCAUCGCUCGAAUUGUGGAGAGGUAAGUGGAAUUCCGAGUGUAGAGGUGAAAUUCGUAGAUAUCGGAAGGAACACCUGUGGCGAAAGCGGCUCACUGGACCAUUACUGACGCUGAUGCACGAAAGCUAGGGGAGCAAACAGG